UUGGUAGAGCGAGGAAAAUCCAUAUUAUGUCUCGCUGUACAAUAUGUAAACACACAGCCGUCAAAAAUCUACAGUUGUGAUAACAGCAUACCUGAGAGAAUUGACACCAUUCACAGAUAUGUGCCAUAUAUAUGUAUUACCAUCUAUUUACAUAUAUAGAGUAUAAUUUAGUGAAGAAUAGGAUGAGAAUACGUUGCACUGUCAGAGAUUGGACUGCUAACAAGACGGCUGUAUGAGCUACACUACCAUGCUUGGGCUUCAGCAUCAUUAGCGUUUUCAGUGUUAGACUUUCAAUAUCUGAAGGAUGUGUUGCCGCUGGGAAUAACAUGAUUUAUGUGUUUGGAAUACGGUCUGUUUGAUAAAAUGGAUAUUGAAUUAGGAUAUGUUAACUUGCUGAUGGUUUUGUUUCUGCUUGGGUGUCUGGCAGAUGAUGAAAUAAACUACAAUAUCAAAACAUCCUCCAAACGCCCGCUGUUGCCUAACAAUGCCGUUUCAAUGGUGAUUGAUGCUACGGAAAGAAUGACAAUAUCACAGUUAGAAACAACCCCAUCAUCAAUCGCUAUUCAGUGGAAUUUUUUAAAAAAUGAUUUUAAUGGUACUCACCAAGAAACAGUGGUUGGUUAUAUUGCUAUGAACACGAACGGUCGGUUUAUCUCUGAUAAUUUAGGAGAUGUAGUAAACGAAUUUGAGUUUAAACAUCUGCAACCGGAUACAGUUUAUAGUAUUUGUAUUGAAGUGAUAACGGUUAAUAUAGAUGAAACUGUUUCUCAUUUUAAAUGUGUAAAUAUGAAGACUAUUCCCACCAUACGAACUGACAGUAUCGUGGCCAUUUUUAUAGCUUUUGGUUAUCUGGGUUUCAUGGGUAUCGUGGGGUGUGCUGUUUGGAAACACAGGAUUUAUAAUAAUAACCGAAACCGCUUAGAA